rnacentral:rRNA from 1 species
AGCGAACGCUGGCGGCAGGCCUAACACAUGCAAGUCGAACGAAGUCUUCGGACUUAGUGGCGGACGGGUGAGUAACACGUGGGAACGUGCCUUUAGGUUCGGAAUAACUCAGGGAAACUUGUGCUAAUACCGAAUGUGCCCUUCGGGGGAAAGAUUUAUCGCCCUUAGAGCGGCCCGCGUCUGAUUAGCUAGUUGGUGGGGUAAUGGCCCACCAAGGCUACGAUCAGUAGCUGGUCUGAGAGGAUGACCAGCCACAUUGGGACUGAGACACGGCCCAAAUUCCCACGGGAGGCAGCAGUGGGGAAUCUUGCGCAAUGGGCGAAAGCCUGACGCAGCCAUGCCGCGUGGAUGAUGAAGGUCUUAGGAUUGUAAAAUCCUUUCACCGGUGAAGAUAAUGACUGUAGCCGGAGAAGAAGCCCCGGCUAACUUCGUGCCAGCCGCCGCGGUAAUAC